UACAGAGACUGCAAGCGUUAUUCGGAUUCACUGGGCGUAAAGGGUGCGCAGGCGGCCGUGUGUGUGAGGCGUGAAAGCCCGGAGCUCAACUCCGGAAUUGCACCUCAAACUACAUGGCUAGAGCAUUGGAGAGGGAAGCGGAAUUCACGGUGUAGCAGUGAAAUGCGUAGAUAUCGUGAGGAACACCAGAGGCGAAAGGCGGCUUCCUGGACAAUUGCUGACGCUCAGGCACGAAAGCGUGGGGAGCAAACAGG
rnacentral:rRNA from 1 species